rnacentral:rRNA from 1 species
GUGAAUCAUCGAAUCUUUGAACGCACCUUGCGCUCCUUGGCAUUCCGAGGAGCAUGCCUGUUUGAGUGUCAUUAAUAUAUCAACCUUCUCUUAUUUGAGUUGUUAGGAUGUGGGGGUUUGCUGGACUCUUAAAUGGUUCAGCUCCCCUGAAAUGCAUUAGCAGAACAACCCUGUUCACUGGUGUGAUAACUAUCUACACUAUUGAAUGUAAGGGGCAGUUCAGCUUUCUAACAGUCCUCGGACAAUUCAUCAUUAAUGUGACCUCAAAUCAGGUAGGACUACCCGCUGAACUUAAGCAUAUCAAUAAGCGGAGG